CCUAAGGUAGCGAAAUUCCUUGUCGGGUAAGUUCCGACCUGCACGAAUGGCGUAAUGAUGGCCAGGCUGUCUCCACCCGAGACUCAGUGAAAUUGAACUCGCUGUGAAGAUGCAGUGUACCCGCGGCAAGACGGAAAGACCCCGUGAACCUUUACUAUAGCUUGACACUGAACAUUGAGCCUUGAUGUGUAGGAUAGGUGGGAGGCUUUGAAGUGUGGACGCCAGUCUGCAUGGAGCCGACCUUGAAAUACCACCCUUUAAUGUUUGAUGUUCUAACGUUGGCCCGUUAUCCGGGUUGCGGACAGUGUCUGGUGGGUAGUUUGACUGGGGCGGUCUCCUCCUAAAGAGUAACGGAGGAGCACGAAGGUUGGCUAAUCCUGGUCGGACAUCAGGAGGUUAGUGCAAUGGCAUAAGCCAGCUUGACUGCGAGCGUGACGGCGCGAGCAGGUGCGAAAGCAGGUCAUAGUGAUCCGGUGGUUCUGAAUGGAAGGGCCAUCGCUCAACGGAUAAAAGGUACUCCGGGGAUAACAGGCUGAUACCGCCCAAGAGUUCAUAUCGACGGCGGUGUUUGGCACCUCGAUGUCGGCUCAUCACAUCCUGGGGCUGAAGUAGGUCCCAAGGGUAUGGCUGUUCGCCAUUUAAAGUGGUACGCGAGCUGGGUUUAGAACGUCGUGAGACAGUUCGGUCCCUAUCUGCCGUGGGCGCUGGAGAACUGAGGGGGGCUGCUCCUAGUACGAGAGGACCGGAGUGGACGCAUCACUGGUGUUCGGGUUGUCAUGCCAAUGGCACUGCCCGGUAGCUAAAUGCGGAAGAGAUAAGUGCUGAAAGCAUCUAAGCACGAAACUUGCCCCGAGAUGAGUUCUCCCUGAGACUUUAAGUCUCCUGAAGGAACGUUGAAGACGACGACGUUGAUAGGCCGGGUGUGUAAGCGCAGCGAUGCGUUGAGCUAACCGGUACUAAUGAACCGUGAGGCUUAACCUU
rnacentral:rRNA from 1 species